CCCUACGCCUGACUACCUGAUAGAAGCCCUUGGCGGGACUUGUGGCGGUGUAUAGGACACCAAACACCCAGACGUCAGGGGCUCGUCUUCCUCUGUUGUACUAAAAUAGAAGAUAUAGUUCAUUACUUUUUUAAUGUAACUGCUUCAGACGUCGGAAAAUGUUCUAACAAAGGUUUUCCAGCACAGUAUAUUUGUAGAGUAACUUGACAGGAAACAGUGAUUCACCCUUAAAUAUUUUACACCAUCAACUUUGGUGUGAACACUUUUAAGCCGUAUACUAAGUUUUUUUAAAUCUUGUUGCUAAUCGUGUACUUUGAGUAAAAUUUGUAUGUUUUUUUUUAAUACGAAUACCUCAGCUCGGGUGGAAUUUGUUCGAUUAAAUGCUGCUACUUAAAACUUA